CCACAGGUGGCUGAACGGUUGAGGCGACGGUCUGUAAAACCGUUUUAAGUAGGUUCAACUCCUACCCUGUGGA
rnacentral:tRNA from 1 species